UUCCAGACUCCUACGGGAGGCAGCAGUGGGGAAUAUUGCACAAUGGGGGAAACCCUGAUGCAGCGACGCCGCGUGAGCGAUGAAGUAUUUCGGUAUGUAAAGCUCUAUCAGCAGGGAAGAAAAUGACGGUACCUGACUAAGAAGCCCCGGCUAACUACGUGCCAGCAGCCGCGGUAAUACGUAGGGGGCAAGCGUUAUCCGGAUUUACUGGGUGUAAAGGGGGCGCAGACGGCAGCGCAAGCCAGGAGUGAAAGCCCGGGGCGCAGCCCCGGGACUGCUCUUGGAACUGCGCGGCUGGAGUGCAGGAGGGGCAGGCGGAAUUCCUGGUGUAGCGGUGAAAUGCGUAGAUAUCAGGAGGAACACCGGUGGCGAAGGCGGCCUGCUGGACUGCGACUGACGUUGAGGCCCGAAAGCGUGGGGAGCAAACAGGAUUAGAUACCCGGGUAAU
rnacentral:rRNA from 1 species